CUGCUUAAAACACAGCUUUAAAAGAUUUUGGAUACUGAAUUAUACAGAAAGAUUCUGAUCAAUUGGAAAAGUAGUCACGUGGUUAUUUACGUAACGCAUCUGAUUUGUCCUCUUCGCUGCGCCGUAGCUGGGAAAAUGGCUGAGAAGAAAAUAGCAGUGCGCUCUCAGGACCAGAGCCAGCGGCGCGUGCUGGAUGUAGCGACACGUCACCGGAGGCUCACGAGGCAGCUCGAGGCGCUCGAGAAGGAUAACUUCCAGGACGACCCACAGACGAGCCUCCCGCCGCCGGUGAAGCGCCUGCCGCAUUUCGACGAGAAUGACGAACCUGGGAAACGGAGGAAGAAGACCAGAGGCGAUCAUUUCAAGCAACGUUUCCGGAAAAACUUCCAGGCCCUGCUUGAGGAAGAGGACUUGAGUGUUAGCGAGGGUCCGAACUACCUGACGGCGUGUGUCGAGCCGUCAUCUUUUCCUCAGCGACACUUCUGUGCCGUGUGCGGUUUCCCUUCCAACUACACGUGCGUGUCCUGCGGAGCUCGCUACUGCUGCGUACGCUGCUUAGCCACACAUCACGAGACCAGGUGUCUGAAGUGGACCGUGUGAUCGGACGUAUUCGAUGGUUUAAAAUCCACUUCACCCUGGAUUGAACAAGAUUGAAAUCUGUUUGAUCUACGCCAGUGCUGGUAGACAGAGGACCCAUGUAGGAGUACGUCCUAAAGAGAGACCCGGAUUCCUCAAUGCCGUUUGGGAUGUACUACUUUGCACAAUGGCAUGAUGACAGUAGCAAGAAAGCGUGCAAAAAAAAACAAACUGAAACAAUCAUCUCGAAUGGUAACGUUGGCAUCCCUCAAGCUUUAGAAAAGCCAUGUAGCUGGACUGCAGCUUUGCAGGAUCAGAGUUACGCUCUCAAAAAUCUCCAUAACAUAUUUAUUGUACAGUUUUCUCAUGCUGUCAAUUUCCAUCUAAAAGCAACAAAUUCAUUACGCCAUAAAAUUCUGAGGGAAAUGUUUCAUAUACAAUCUAAUGGAUAACCUUCAGUCUUAAACAUACAGGUAAAACACAGGCGCUGACUUACACUGACCAAACCUGCAGUCAAGGAAAUCUGAGCAAGCUAAAAAAUAAAUAAAUAAAUAUCUGGAAUUUUACCACAAAA